rnacentral:rRNA from 1 species
ACGCUAGCUACAGGCUUAACACAUGCAAGUCGAGGGGAAACGGCAUUUAGUGCUUGCACUGAAUGGACGUCGACCGGCGCACGGGUGAGUAACGCGUAUCCAACCUUCCCAUUACUUUGGGAUAACCUGCCGAAAGGCAAACUAAUACCUCAUAGUCUUCGAUGACGGCAUCAAAUUUGAAGUAAAGAUUUAUCGGUAAUGGAUGGGGAUGCGUCUGAUUAGCUUGUUGGCGGGGUAACGGCCCACCAAGGCAACGAUCAGUAGGGGUUCUGAAAGGAAGGUCCCCCACAUUGGAACUGAAACACGGUCCAAACUCCUACGGGAGGCAGCAGUGAGGAAUAUUGGUCAAUGGACGUAAGUCUGAACCAGCCAAGUAGCGUGCAGGAUGACGGCCCUAUGGGUUGUAAACUGCUUUUGUAUGGGGAUAAAGUCAAUCACGUGUGAUUGUUUGCAGGUACCAUACAAAUAAGGACCGGCUAAUUCCGUGCCAGCAGCCGCGGUAAUACGGAAGGUUCGGGCGUUAUCCGGAUUUAUUGGGUUUAAAGGGAGCGUAGGCCGGAGAUUAAGUGUGUUGUGAAAUGUAGACGCUCAACGUCUGACUUGCAGCGCAUACUGGUUUCCUUGAGUACGCACAACGUUGGCGGAAUUCGUCGUGUAGCGGUGAAAUGCUUAGAUAUGACGAAGAACUCCGAUUGCGAAGGCAGCUGACGGGAGCGCAACUGACGCUGAAGCUCGAAGGUGCGGGUAUCGAACAGGAUUAGAUACCCUGGUAGUCCGCACAGUAAACGAUGGAUGCCCGCUGUUGGUACCUAGUAUCAGCGGCUAAGCGAAAGCAUUAAGCAUCCCACCUGGGGAGUACGCCGGCAACGGUGAAACUCAAAGGAAUUGACGGGGGCCCGCACAAGCGG